rnacentral:lncRNA from 1 species
CGCAAGGGCGCAGCCAAUAGGAUUGUAGCCUGCAGGUGCGGCCAAGCACAGAACGGAGGGGGUGGGGGCGCUGCAACCACGGAGAGCUACCGCCUGGCAGGACUUGGGGCAAAGGUACGCGAGCGCUGUGAGUUCGUCGGCUGAGACACGACACCCACAGAAGAGUCGGCCCAUCCACGGAGCGCCCCAAGCACACGUCCUAAGUGAUUCGUACGGGUCACAAGACUCAAAAGAUUCCCGCAGGAUUCACAAUGCACGAAACACGUCUGGCUCUUGCUGCGAACAGACCGGGAAGAGCCAGAAGUCUCAUGUCACCAGACCCAGUGAAUAAAGUGGCUGAGGACACAAUAUGUUUUUACAAGCCUGCCUUUCCAUGGAAUUGCACUGGACAGCAACAGUCACUGCUGAGCAUAUCUCGUAAAGACACCCAGGAAAGAGGACUCUCAAAACUGCUUCAGAAAGUGACAAGAACAAGAUAAGUGUUUUUGGAAUAAAAGGGAUGAUUUUGAGGGGUAUUAAUGGCAGUGUGUCAUUUACUGUAAUUAAUUUUGUUUGUUUUUUGGUUCUGGGGACUGAACUCAGGACCUUGCACUUUUUUUUUUUGUACUGGGGAUCGAACUUGGGACCUUGUGCUUGCAAGGCAGGCAGCGGAACCACUGAGCUAAAUCCCUUGCCCAGGACCUUGCACUUUUGAGACAGGCAUAGUGCCAUUGCGCUAAACCCCCAGCUGUAAUGAAUUUUAAAAAAUGUAAACAUUCACUGUUGUCGUUGUUGUUUGGAGGCAGGGUCUCACUAUGUAGCCCAGGCUGGCCUUGAAUUUGUGGUGAUCCUCCUGCCUCAGCCCCACUACUGUUGGGAUUUCAGGAUUCACUGUGUAUUUUGUUUUUAGUACUGGGGAUCAAACUCGGGAACCAUUGCUUGCAAGGCAGGUGGUGGAACCACUGAGUUUAUUCCUGGCCCUUCAUUGUGUAUUUUGAUCAAAUCUAGUAUCUAUGAUAAAGUUUAAUUUAUGAAUUAGGCAUAGUAAGAAAGCAACAAUAAUAAAAAUGCAGCAAAAAAUAAAAAUUAAAAAGAAAUAACAGCAACAUUCUGCAGUAGUUUGCCUGUGGGCUCCCUCACAGUGCUGCACACCAUACUUUCUAAGCAGGCCUAGGUUUACAUGGUGGAAAGGCUGGAGAGAAGCCGAGUCCUGGGUGGGAAGGGGCAGGGUAGCCCCAGCAAGUCAGGCUCCACAGAGCAGAAUGCCACUUAAAAGUAGCAGUUAUUUGCAUCUGGGAUUUUCCACUUAAUAUUUUCGGAGCACGGUUGACUGGUGCUACCUGACAUCUCAGGAAGCAGAACCAAGGAGGAGGUCAAGGCCUAUCCCCACACUCCCUGCAGAGAGGUCACUU